GCCGAGUCUGUAUGGCCCCUGGCAUUUUGCCAACAGUAUUGAUUGACAGGCGAGGCAUUACUAUCCGCCUCUGCCGCAACUUUUGAGUUCUCGCACUAUUUUGGAGUUCUCGUGGGGAUUUCCGGGGAUUCCCCGAGAGUUCCCAUUGGUUGGGGAAGUGCAGGAGGAGGGAUUUCCGGGAGAGAUAUUUCCAGCUGGGGGUUUUCCUGGACAAGCCUCCUGGCGCGUUCGGGAGGAUUCCCCGGGAGCUGUGUGUAGUGUUUUCCUGCAGUUUAAAAAUAAAGUUUGUUCCUGCUUCAGUGGCUCGUGAUUUGUGCCCAGCCAGACUGCGGCAUUUACCCACGUCAUCAGGCCGAUCCAAGAAGCACAAAAUCCAGAAUCCAGUGACCUCCGAGGGCCCUUGUAAGUUAUGUUUUCGGUGCCCAGAUUUCCAUGAUUCCCCAGAAGUAAGACAGCCAUUUGUGGGUCUUAGAAAGUUUACUUAACUAAAAGGUGCGGAUCCCUUGGGCACCAGCAGCUGGGGAGCAGCAGAAGACAAAGAAUCAGGCAAGAGGUUUUGUAUCCAUCCCAGAAAAAGGUGAAAGUGGAGAUAGAUUGGGGAGAAGGAUGCAGAGCUUGGUGUAAAAUGAGAGGAAGAGAAGGAUUCCCAGGAGACGAUCAUAUAAGAUUAAGUUCAACUGUGAGGAACAGUAAACCCCAUUAUAGUGACUUAAACAGACAAAAAGAAUUCUCUUUUCCCCCUCAUUUGAAGGACUCUGGAUGUAGACAGUCCAAGGCCAUUUAGAGUUAGCUGUUAAUGUUUAGAGAACCUGAUGCGUUCUAUCUGUUCCACGAUAUCAACCACUUAGUUUUAUCCUCAGGGUCUGCUGUGGCUGUAAGAGUUCCAGCCAUCACACCUGUACUUCAGGACAUAAGGAAAAGAAGAGGUAGAAAUGCAAAAUGAAGUUCUCUUAAGGAAUUUAUCUGGGAGCAAGACUUCCACUUCAUCUCAUCAGCUAGAAUUCGGUGACACCGAGCUGUGGAAGAGACUGGGAAAUGUUGUGAUAAAAUGUUUGGCUAGGCACAUCGUUCAGCCUUCUACUCGGGAAGAGACACCUCGCACCUAGGUCCCUUACAAAGAAAUGUGGAGUGUAAGGGACAGCGGAGGAGCGUCUGCUUUGGGAGUCUGGCUUGGGACAUGCUGGACUUGAGUGCCUUGGGAACAACUUUAGAGAGUUGCCCAGCAGAUAAUAGAAUACAAACGUGCAAAGCUCAGGAAAAAGUCUGAAGCCAGAGGUCAAGAAGUGAGAGCCACCAGGAUGAAAGGGACAUGUGGCACCCUGGAAAUUCUCCUCCCGUGAAUUAUCUCAGAACACGAACGUGAUCUCACACCUCCUUGUCGUCAAUAUUUCCAUCUUCUCCCAGCUCUCACGAUAAAGCUGAGGGUCCCUAGAGUGAACUAAGCUGAGUUUCCUAGUCUGGCCACUGACCCCCGGCUUCCUCUGCCAUCCCCUUCCCCCCCCACCCUGGGCCCUCUUCCUUGGCGGGUGCUGGCCAAUCUCCCCUCAUCCUCUUUACCCCCAGCUCUGCAUGCUGCAGUAGUACCUCCUGGGCCCUCCCAAGCCUUAAAAUGUUGGCAUAUUGAUUGCAGUUUUACAGACGAAUCGGACCGGAGCUCAAAGUCAAGAAAGAUACCCAAGGUCACAGGAUGAGAAAGAGGCACCAUCAGAGAUCAAAGCCAAGGUGUAGGAGCGGCUGGUACCUUCUCUCUGCGCCCAGCCUGCUACUAUAGGGGGGCUCUCAUGCCCUCCCCAGAAAGAAGGGGGCAGGAGGAAGCCCCAGAACUCAAAAGAGCUGACCCCAGGGGAGGGCUCAUUCCGUCAGCCUGGACGGGAGUCUGCCCACUCCUCCUGCCUUCCUCCCCUCCCACCUUUCUCCCCACUUCCCACAGGAACUUGAUUAAUCCAUCAGGUUUAACCUCUCCUUAACUUCCUGAUUAGUUACAUUUAUA
rnacentral:lncRNA from 1 species